rnacentral:lncRNA from 1 species
GUUAAGUUAAGUUAAGUUACAUUUAAGUUAAGUUAAGUUACAUUUAAUAUAGGAAUUAAUUUUUUCAUCCUCCGGCAGUGAGGUUUGAACCCGCGAUCAUCCGGGUGUUAGACUGUGCAUCUUUCCACUGAGCCACAGAAACCAUUGGAACACUUAUGAAAUUUAAGCAUAUAAGUCACCUUCUCUGUAAGACUAGAAAUUAAUGUUGGGAGAAC